GCUUUUAAAGGAAGACAGA
rnacentral:tRNA from 1 species